rnacentral:rRNA from 1 species
AUUGAACGCUGGCGGCAUGCCUUACACAUGCAAGUCGAACGGUAACAGCUCUUCGGAGGCUGACGAGUGGCGAACGGGCGAGUAAUACAUCGGAACGUGCCCGAUCGUGGGGGAUAACGGAGCGAAAGCUUUGCUAAUACCGCAUACGAUCUACGGAUGAAAGCAGGGGACCCACGGGCCUUGUGCGAACGGAGCGGCCGAUGGCAGAUUAGGUAGUUGGUGGGAUAAAAGCUUACCAAGCCGACGAUCUGUAGCUGGUCUGAGAGGACGACCAGCCACACUGGGACUGAGACACGGCCCAGACUCCUACGGGAGGCAGCAGUGGGGAAUUUUGGACAAUGGGCGAAAGCCUGAUCCAGCAAUGCCGCGUGCAGGAUGAAGGCCUUCGGGUUGUAAACUGCUUUUGUACGGAACGAAAAGUCUCGGGCUAAUACCCUGGGACCAUGACGGUACCGUAAGAAUAAGCACCGGCUAACUACGUGCCAGCCGCCGCCGUAA